GAUGAACGCUAGCGGCAGGCUUAACACAUGCAAGUCGAGGGGUAUAGGUUUUCGGACCUAGAGACCGGCGCACGGGUGCGUAACGCGUAUGCAAUCUACCUUUCACAGAGGGAUAGCCCAGAGAAAUUUGGAUUAAUACCUCAUAGUAUAGCAGUUUCGCAUGAAACCACUAUUAAAGUUCCAACGGUGAAAGAUGAGCAUGCGUCCCAUUAGCUAGAUGGUAAGGUAACGGCUUAUCAUGGCUACGAUGGGUAGGGGUCCUGAGAGGGAGAUCCCCCACACUGGUACUGAGACACGGACCAGACUCCUACGGGAGGCAGCAGUGAGGAAUAUUGGUCAAUGGACGCAAGUCUGAACCAGCCAUGCCGCGUGCAGGAUGACGGUCCUAUGGAUUGUAAACUGCUUUUGUACGAGAAGAAACAACAUUACGUGUAAUGUCUUGACGGUAUCGUAAGAAUAAGGAUCGGCUAACUCCGUGCCAGCCGCCGCCGUAAAAC
rnacentral:rRNA from 1 species